UACCAUUAAGAAUCUUUGCGA
ensembl:piRNA 21ur-4294 ncRNA